rnacentral:rRNA from 1 species
AGAGUUUGAUCCUGGCUCAGGAUGAACGCUGGCGGUAUGCUUAACACAUGCAAGUCGAACGCAGUCCUUCGGGGCUGAGUGGCGGACGGGUGAGUAACGCGUGAGAAUCUGCCUAAAGGACUGGGACAACAGCUGGAAACGGCUGCUAAUACCAGAUAUGCCAGAAAGUGAAAAGGGGUAACCCGCCUUUUGAUGAGCUCGCGUCUGAUUAGCUAGUUGGUAGGGUAAAGGCCUACCAAGGCUCCGAUCAGUAACUGGUCUGAGAGGAUGACCAGUCACACUGGGACUGAGACACGGCCCAGACUCCUACGGGAGGCAGCAGUGGGGAAUUUUCCGCAAUGGGCGCAAGCCUGACGGAGCAAUACCGCGUGGGGGAGGAAGGCUCUUGGGUCGUAAACCUCUUUUCUCAGGGAAGAACACAAUGACGGUACCUGAGGAAUCAGCAUCGGCUAACUCCGUGCCAGCAGCCGCGGUAAUACGGAGGAUGCAAGCGUUAUCCGGAAUGAUUGGGCGUAAAGCGUCCGCAGGUGGCAGUGUAAGUCUGCUGUCAAAGGUCAGGGCUUAACCCUGAACAGGCAGUGGAAACUACACAGCUAGAGUGCGGUGGGGGCAGAGGGAAUUCCCAGUGUAGCGGUGAAAUGCGUAGAGAUUGGGAAGAACACCGGUGGCGAAAGCGCUCUGCUAGGCCGCAACUGACACUCAUGGACGAAAGCUAGGGGAGCGAAUGGGAUUAGAUACCCCCGUAGUCC